rnacentral:rRNA from 1 species
ACGAACGCUGGCGGCAGGCUUAACACCUGCAAGUCGAACGCCCCGCACGGGGAGUGGCAGACGGGUGAGUAACGCGUGGGAAUCUACCCAUCCCUACGGAAUAACGCAUGGAAACGUGUGCUAAUACCGUAUACGCCCUACGGGGGAAAGAUUUAUCGGGGAUGGAUGAGCCCGCGUUGGAUUAGCUAGUUGGUGGGGUAAAGGCCUACCAAGGCGACGAUCCAUAGCUGGUCUGAGAGGAUGAUCAGCCACAUUGGGACUGAGACACGGCCCAAACUCCUACGGGAGGCAGCAGUGGGGAAUAUUGGACAAUGGGCGCAAGCCUGAUCCAGCCAUGCCGCGUGAGUGAUGAAGGCCUUAGGGUUGUAAAGCUCUUUCACCGGAGAAGAUAAUGACGGUAUCCGGAGAAGAAGCCCCGGCUAACUUCGUG